rnacentral:rRNA from 1 species
GACGAACGCUGGCGGCGUGCUUAACACAUGCAAGUCGAACGGGCCUUGUCCCCUUUUUUUUUGGGGGUGGGGUUAGUGGCGAACGGGUGAGUAACACGUGAGUAACCUGCCCCUCACUUCUGGAUAACCGCUUGAAAGGGUGGCUAAUACGGGGUGUUCUGGCCUGCUCGCAUGGGUGGGUUUGGAAAGAUUCGACCGGUUUGGUUGUUUUGGUGGGGGAUGGGCUCGCGGCCUAUCAGCUUGUUGGUGGGGUGAUGGCCUGCCAAGGCUUUGACGGGUAGCCGGCCUGAGAGGGUGGGCGGUCACACUGGGACUGAGACACGGCCCAGACUCCUACGGGAGGCAGCAGUGGGGAAUAUUGCACAAUGGGCGCAAGCCUGAUGCAGCGACGCCGCGUGAGGGAUGGAGGCCGUCGGGUUGUGAACCUCUUUCGCCAGUGAAGAAGGUCCUGCUCUUUGUGGUGGGGUUGACGGUAGCUGGGUUAAUGAAGCGCCGGCUAACUACGUG